UUGAACGCUGGCGGCAUGCCUUACACAUGCAAGUCGAACGGUAGAGGGGCAACCCUUGAGAGUGGCGAACGGGUGAGUAAUAUAUCGGAACGUGCCCAGUCGUGGGGGAUAACGCAGCGAAAGCUGCGCUAAUACCGCAUACGAUCUAUGGAUGAAAGCGGGGGAUCGCAAGACCUCGCGCGAUUGGAGCGGCCGAUAUCAGAUUAGGUAGUUGGUGGGGUAAAGCCCACCAAG
rnacentral:rRNA from 1 species